rnacentral:rRNA from 1 species
AACGAACGCUGGCGGCAUGCCUAACACAUGCAAGUCGAACGAGACCUUCGGGUCUAGUGGCGCACGGGUGCGUAACGCGUGGGAACCUGCCCUUAGGUUCGGAAUAACUCCCCGAAAGGGGUGCUAAUACCGGAUAAUGUCUUCGGACCAAAGAUUUAUCGCCUUUGGAUGGGCCCGCGUUGGAUUAGCUAGUUGGUAGGGUAAAAGCCUACCAAGGCGACGAUCCAUAGCUGGUCUGAGAGGAUGAUCAGCCGCACUGGGACUGAGACACGGCCCAGACUCCUACGGGAAGCAGCAGUGGGGAAUAUUGGACAAUGGGCGAAAGCCUGAUCCAGCAAUGCCGCGUGAGUGAUGAAGGCCUUAGGGUUGUAAAGCUCUUUUACCCGGGAUGAUAAUGACAGUACCGGGAGAAUAAGCUCCGGCUAACUCCGUG